UUAGAAAAAUAAGCUUCCACAAAGGAAUAAGACCCUGUGUCUAAGGAAAUGGAUUCCUGGUUAACAUUUUCACACAGAACAUAUGAUUUUCUGGAACAGAUUAUUAACAUUACAAGGGAGUUGCCUGGUAGUCAGAGAUCCCUGCGAUGGUGGAGCUGAUAUUCUAGAGGAACGUGGAGCUUUGCUGGAGAAAUACAAGAGAUGAGGAGCAUAGAUGGUGAUGGCAUCGAAGAAGCAAGGACGUUGGGAAGAAAAUCAUACAGAAAUAAUGAUGGUGG
rnacentral:lncRNA from 1 species